rnacentral:lncRNA from 1 species
UAAGAUUAACAUAAGCACUGAAGAUUGCAAAAUCAGUGUUGCGACGAGGCAAUGGGAGACAAAAUUAACAGAGAUAUUCGUAGCUUCAGGUUUAUAUUACUGCAGUCUUUUCUUUUCUCAGUCUUUUCAAUACACAAAAUUGUUUUUUUUUUUUUGUAACUGAAUACACAAAAUUGUUUCUUUCAAAUAUUUGAUAUAUCAAUACAACAGGAAAUCAUUUUUCAAUCUACUACAUCCUCUUUACUGCAAAAAAUAAUUGGUAGCGAGACAAAUGGAUUUUUCAAUGAUUUAGUAUUUUCU